CAUCCUCCUUAUUUUAGGAUUGUACAACGUGUGGGAUAUUCAAGGCCCUUGGUCUCAAAGUAAGAGACAAAAUCUGAUUUUUUUUCCUGCUGAAUACUAAAAUAACAUUGUUUUUCUAAAAAGAGCGUUCUUAAAAAAACGUUGAGGUCGCUUUAAACAACGUUAAAAUGUGGAAUUAUCAGAUUUGGUUCGGAACUGUGAUAUUUUAAAUUCUGACGAUAUAUAAACAAAAAGAUCUGUAACCCCCCCUUCUAUCUCUCUGUCUCCCAUCUCAACGAUCAUAUUUUCAUUUUGUAUGUUCAAUCGAGCAUCAUGCUUUUCCAUAUUUUGCGGCCUUCAACCAAUCCUAUUUUUAUUCACGUGUAAUAACAUUAACAAAAUUAUUGAAUCUUCUGAAACAUGAUCUGGAACUAUCUCUCUUUAAAAUAAUUUGUCUUUUAAAGUGUAGGAAUCUUUUUUAUCAUCCACUCACUAAUAAGCUUCAACGAGUUAUUAAAAAUAUGUUUCCCCAAUGCCCAUUGACCGUGAUUGUUUAAUAUAAUCAUAACUCUGAAUUUUGAAGUGAACACUAUACGAUGUAUACGAGAAACCACCUGUAUUACUCUAUAUCAAUAUGUCAUGGCGGUUUUUGUCACUAAAUGUAUAAUGUACAUUCCCUAAAUUAUUUUUUUUAGAAAACCUUGCCACUCAAUUUUAUUUUUAAGAAAAUCAAAAAUUAACAUUUAUGCCAGACAUCAAAAGGAUUAACCUUGUAUGAACAAGGAUUUAAAAUUGACAGUUUUUAAAUUACAUUUUUACCUGAUAUUAAAUUGUGCAGCUUGCUUAAAGGGACUGUAAGCGUAAUUUUAAGUGAUCCUUCAUGCCAAGUGGGAAGUGGGAAAUGCCUGGUUCACAACGGUACACUUAAAAUCUUUCUGUGUUCAUCGGGUCCAGAAAUAUGUUUGUGAUAAAUCCGUUUGUGUAAGCAGCUGAAAAUUCCGGUGUGCACUGCGUACAGUCUGAACUCAACGCACAGCGGAAUUUGCAGCGGAUCAUACAAGCGGAUUCAGAUACGUUAACACACACGUCUCUGUACUCGACUAACACAGGAAGGUUUUUAGGAUACCGUUGUUAAUCGGGCAGUCCUUUCUACGCGUGGAGGGUCACUUGAAACUUCGCUUACAGUCCCUUUCAUACAUUAUAAUAUAUACGGGAAACCUACCCGUCUUAUACCUUCUGUGAUACCAGCAGACUAUACUUAUUAACCCCUCUAAACAUAUCUUUUUAGAUGUUAAAUGUUUGAAAUUUGUAUAUUUGUACUUGAAAGGACUGUCAGCGUGCACAUUGUACUAUGUACACCCAUUUGGAGCUUUUCCUUAUUAUAUAAAUGUUAUUCUAUUAAUAUUACAUAAUCCUGAUCUUAUCAAUGAAAGUAACCCCAUGAGGCCCACCUGUCUAAAAACCUUUUAAAGCAUCAUUGCUAAAUUAUCUAUUACCCUUAAACAGUGCCUUCUACCCAACUCAAGGACAGUCGCGCCAUUUUAGCGCAUUUUUUGUGAACAGCUGAUUUUUAUCCAUCAGCUGAUUUGUAGUUAACUACUGACGAUCUUAACUGCACCAUAUUUGGUGGAUUUCUAACCUACAAUUAACUUGAAUAGUUAUUUCAACUGCGUAGACUCCUAAAUUUUCUUAUGGUCGAGAUUAAAUUUCGAAAUAUUCACAAAACGUUGUCUUACUAAUGACAAAAUUGCUUUAACAAUAACAAAUCAUUGAUUUUGUUUGUAUGAAUUAAACUGCCCCCUCCAUGCCUGAAAUAUUUGUUGUCUAUGCCCUUAAUAGAUGUCAAAAUAAAGACUAAUCUUAGUUUCUACGCAUUUCAACGCAUAAAAUAGUUUUUUUUAAAUAUCCUCAAAAAAACGUACUUUAAACUAAACUCAACACCACAAAGUUCUUUACAUUCAUUGGUUAAGAAAAAUAUUUUUGUGUUAUUUCAUAAUUUUUGGGAUUUAUCAUCUGACGCUUUGCGUAUUUCGUUCGCAACUUUAAACCCUCCAGUGACGCAGUGGAUGUUGAGUUCUGAUCCUGAUAACUUGUAUUAGAACCUGUGAUGAAUAUGUAUUAAUUUUAUUCUAGCAAAUAAACUGUCUACUCAUUU